UGUCUGGCCCUGAGACAAUACUGUCAAAGGGAGACCACAGACCAUUGCCUGGUGGAAGACAGAUUUUUCUUCUGUGGCUUAGGGCGAUGAAGCCAACAGUGGUUCAGGCAGUUUUUUUCUUUUUUUCAGUGACACUGAAAGUCACGGCCACAUCCAUAGUGACCCAAACUGGUGGUGUUGACGGCUGUUUCUCAAACCCGCCUUGUAUACAGCAGCAAUAGUCUGAAUGAGCAGCUCAAAGCUGCUCCCAGGUUUCAGAUCGGUUCAUACCGGAUCAGAUUGUGGAGGGAGGUCCUGUCGGGGUCAGGAACAUGUUGCUGGUCUGCGUGGUGGUAAAUGAUUGUGUGCCUGGGGGAAAGCGAUGCGUGAGACUGGAGGUAAGGGCGUGGACUUUCGUGUGCCAUGGGCCUCGUUUCGUAUCUUUACUAUAGCUGCGGGGCUCUGGCGCAUUGUCCGAUCUCUCGAAAACCUUGUUUGCGCGUUUGUAAAAUGGUAAUGACACAGUGGGGAUCUCAUGGCGUUGUGCGCGGAUUAGCUGAGUGACACAAAAAAGCUCUGUGCACCGUGCCUGGCACCUGGUGGAAGUCAAUAAAUGUGUGUUUAGUGGUGAAAGCUGAGCAGCCUUUGAGAUAAGCUGAGCAGAUGAGCUCCUAAUGGUGCCAGCCCGUGCCAGCAGCCAGUCUGAGAGCCCCCUGCAACUCUUGACGUUUUCCUUGAAAUCUGUUUGAGUCACUAAUUGUACAAGCUAGGGUUCUUGGCUGUGAAGCAAUACAGACCAACUUUAGUUAAUUUAAACAGAGAAGCAUACAGCUGGUCACCGCUAUCACUGGACCACACUGCGUAGAUUGCUCUGUGGACACCUUUGACACUGGACCUCGGGAUGGCCACUAGAACUAAAGUGGUGACUAACUUCCCCCGCUGGCCCCACCCACAGCAGAACGGAUUCCUCGGGAACCCUUUUUGUCACCAUGAGCUCCAGCUACAAACCUGGAGCGGGUGAGUUGGACUGGCACCUUUGGCACCCCUUGAAGUCACUCUUUGGGGAAAGAUGGGCUCUUCUUGUUCAGACUUUCUGCACUACUGCCCCCUAGGGGCUGCCCAAUUCUGUGGUGGGGAUCCAGUCCGUUCCAGCACCUGGGACCCAUGACUCCAGAAGAGAUGCUUGAGGACUGGACAGUGGCGGGGCUCUGGAUAUUUCAGCCCACCCGUCUGUAAUGGUCUCAGUCUUCCCUAAAGCUCAGAAGGUGGGAACUGAAUUGGUGAGAGGACGAAAUGAGGCAAUGCUACCAAAAGAGUUUUGCAAACAAAAACCCCCGUGCAAAGAGGAGGUGCAACUGUGGUGUAUGGACGCAUCCUAGCUCUCCAGCAUGUGAUGAAUUUGCACACGUCCUGGGCGGCUGGAAGUACUCAGCUCCGGGUAGAAAUAAAAAGGAAAACAGACGAGCAUCUGCUGAAGGCCCCAUUCCAAGUCUGGGAGACUUGCGAACGGAGAAGAAUACAAAACGAUGACUACCUAAUUUCUAGGGCUCUUCCUCAGGCCUUGGAAGCGGUUUACUCUGAUUCUGCAAUUAGAAGCUGUGUGACCCCGGGGUGAUCACUUAACCUGUCUGAGACUCAAGCCUCCAGCUGGACAAAUGAAGAUAGUUAUAGCUAACUUCAGGAGUGAGUUUCCUUGAAGCUAAAUAUUUGCUCUCCCUUGGAAUUAUGAUGAGGUGGCCUGUGUGACUCAAAAUUGAAAUGAUAAGAGAUUGACAGUGGAAAUAGGUGAAUAAAAUAAUGAGCGAGUGUCUACGGGGGUAUAAGCACGUGGAAGCAAUACUGAAAUUUAGGAUGGCUGUGAACAGACACCCCGAAGGGAAAUAUGAACACCAUCCAAUAGGAAUCUAAGAGAAAGUGACCAAGCAGUGGAACAGACUAGGGCAAGUGCACUAGUUAAUUCAAGAACGCCCAUCCUGCUCAGGUCAAAAGCUUCACGUCAGGGUUUGAAAUGAUUCCUGCCAAGAGCCACAAAUGGAAGGGGAGACAAGACGCCCAGUCCCCAGAGGAAGGAGGAGUCACUGAGAGCAUCGUGCAGAGAAAACAGGAGGCCCCAAUGCUGAAAAUUUUAAUGUGUGAUAUUAAGAAAAUAAAUCAGAUUUUUGGAACCAAAA